rnacentral:rRNA from 1 species
AUGGAAACUCUUGCCGCUCUAGCAGUAGAUCAAAUCCAUGGCAGUACUGCUACUCGCCUCCCUCCACCCGGCGAGGAGGAACUCUGCUCCACUUCCGGAUCCUCGCGCCCAAGCCCUUCAUCUCCUCCACCUGCAGAUACAGAGAACACAGACGCACGGUGUAAAAUUUGCCGCAUCCAGAUCGAGAAUCCGUCACACGGAUGCGGGGGGUUUUGGCUCCGGCGACUUACCGAUCCGACGCCCGCCGCGGACACUCCGGCGGUGACGGUCGUGGCGCCGGCGCCGACGAAGAGCGAGGCGACGGCGAACGCCCUGAACGGCAUCGUCAUGUCGCUGCCGCCCUUGCCUCGCCGGAACCAAACCAGCGCGCCGGUGAUCUGGGCCGCACUCGCUCCAAGCCACCAGGGCCAUGCCUUGCCCUUCUUCCCGCCGCCUCCACCCAGCUCAUCCAUCACCGCCGCCGCCGCCGCCGCCGCUAGGUUAUUUGGGGGACACCACAGCUCGGUGGGAGUUGCAAACUAUGCACACACUGAAACACACAAGGCUCACCGACACGUGGGGUCCUUGGCAGGCCGUGUCAUGUCCAUCCACUGA